rnacentral:rRNA from 1 species
CCUACGGGAGGCAGCAGUGAGGAAUAUUGGUCAAUGGGCGCGAGCCUGAACCAGCCAAGUAGCGUGCGGGAUGACGGUCCUAUGGAUUGUAAACCUCUUUUAUCCGGGAGCAAAAUGCGCCCCGUGUGGCGUUCCGAGAGUACCCUACGAAUAAGCACCGGCUAACUCCGUGCCAGCAGCCGCGGUAAUACGGAGGAUACGGGCGUUAUCCGGUUUUAUUGGGUUUAAAGGGUGCGCAGGCGGACGAUCAAGGCAGCGGUAACAUUCCGGGGCUCAACCUCGUCGCGCCGUUGACACUGGUGUGCUGGAGUGAGCGAGAGGUAUGCGGAAUGAGUGGUGUAGCGGUGAAAUGCUUAGAUAUCACGAAGAACUCCGAUUGCGAAGGCAGCAUACCGGAGCGCAACUGACGCUGAUGCACGAAAGUGCGGGUAUCGAACAGGAUUAGAUACCCGAGUAGUC